AGAGUUUGAUCAUGGCUCAGGAUGAACGCUAGCGGCAGGCUUAAUACAUGCAAGUCGUGGGGCAGCAGGGGUGUAGCAAUACACUCGCUGGCGACCGGCAAACGGGUGCGGAACACGUACGCAACCUACCCAAAACUGGGGAAUAGCCCGGGGAAACCCGGAUUAAUACCCCGUAACAUAAUGAAGUGGCAUCACUUUAUUAUUAUAGCUCCGGCGGUUUUGGAUGGGCGUGCGGCUGAUUAGGUAGUUGGCAGGGUAAUGGCCUACCAAGCCUGCGAUCAGUAACUGGUGUGAGAGCACGACCAGUCACACGGGCACUGAGACACGGGCCCGACUCCUACGGGAGGCAGCAGUAAGGAAUAUUGGUCAAUGGACGCAAGUCUGAACCAGCCAUGCCGCGUGGAGGAUGAAGGUCCUCUGGAUUGUAAACUUCUUUUAUCGGAGAAGAAACCCUUGCAUUCUUGCGAGGUUGACGGUACCCGAUGAAUAAGCACCGGCUAACUCCGUGCCAGCAGCCGCGGUAAUACGGAGGGUGCAAGCGUUAUCCGGAUUCACUGGGUUUAAAGGGUGCGUAGGUGGGCUAGUAAGUCCGUGGUGAAAUCUCCAAGCUUAACUUGGAAACUGCCGUGGAUACUAUUAGUCUUGAAUAUUGUGGAGGUAAGCGGAAUAUGUCAUGUAGCGGUGAAAUGCUUAGAUAUGACAUAGAACACCGAUAGCGAAGGCAGCUUGCUACACAAUCAUUGACACUGAGGCACGAAAGCGUGGGGAUCAAACAGGAUUAGAUACCCCGGUAGUCC
rnacentral:rRNA from 1 species